rnacentral:lncRNA from 1 species
UUGAUGCCUUUGCCCUUGCGUGCCAUAGGGAAUGAGGACAAGCAGACAGAAAUGGUGCUGAUGAAGCCGUGGAAGCAAAUGCUCAAAUAGAAGUGCUGUUGUGGGGCACUUCUGAGGUGUCUCUGUCCCUUCAGGAGCUUCACUGCUCAAUGGGAAGUGUCUUUGGCCAUCCAGCUUUCCUCAGGAUCCAUCACCAGAUAAACCAACACAGCACAUCCCACCAUGAUGAUGGCUAUUCCACAGCAGAGGGGCUGGUGCUGUCCUUGUUCAUUGCAGGGGAGUUGGAGCAGAUGACCUUGAAAGGUUCCUUCCAACAUAAAUGACUCUGCAGUGCUACGAAAUAAAGGAAGUGCAAACCUUCCCUAAGUGGAGGAACAAGUGAUCCUGGUGGGUCCCUUCCAAUUUGGCCUAUGAUUCUGUUCCAUACGCAGAGAAACAAGUUGAUGGGAUGGGGUAGAAAAGGAAGAAAUCCAUGUGUGUAUUAUGCACAAGGCUGGGGUGCAUUCAGAGGAGAAGAAUGAUGUUAUACAUUGCUCUUAAUUAACAUGAAGAGCUGAGCAACCUCUCCAAGAGUGAACACUGGGAUACACGAUGAGGGCACAGAGCUCUGGGGCACCCUGCCCUGCAGCUGGGUGAGCAGCACUGCGAAGCGAGCCUCGAGGAAAGCCUGUGCAUGGCUUUGUCAUCCCCUUUUGGAUAGAAACCGGCUGCAAAAAGUACUGGAGGAUGAGCUUGUUCAUUUGUAGGAAACACCCUAGAGCCAGCUGUUUGGCCAAGCACUCUUUGGCAAUGCUGCAUGCUUGCAGACCACAGCUGUGCCAGCAGCGCAGUGGGACCAGGCAGGCAGCCGGUGCUGUGCGGACAGAUGGAGCUGAGACCUACCUGGAGGCAUCCCAAUAGUGCACAUCAACCCGAACACACCCAGCAGUCCUUGGGGUGGCUCAGCUGAAUGCUCCCAGCUUUUGUAUUAUAGCUCAUGGGUGGCUGGCUUUACAAAUGAAUGCUUUUCCUACGGACGCAGCUUUUUGCUCUGGGUCAGGCUGCUCUGAGCUCGCCAGCUGUUGGCUGACCCUGCAGCAGGGAAAAGAGAAUGUGUUAAGUACAGAUAAAGGUAUGGUUCCUAAAGACCCACUUCUAGGAAGUAAAAUGCAUUUCAUGUGUUGCAGUGAGGACAUUUCUGCUUUUAGUCCAAAAUGGGGCUGAGGGGACUCACAUCCCUCUGUAGCAAUACCGGAUCAUAGAAUCACAACACCACAGCAUCAUAGGGGUUGGAAGGGACCUCUGGAGAUCAUCCCAUCCAACUCCCCACUAAAGCAGGUUCCCCACAGUAGGUUACACAAGAAAGCAUCCAGGCAGGUCUUGAACAUCUCCAGAGAUGGAGACUCCACAGCUUUCCUGGGCAGUCUGUUCCAGUGCUCUGUCACCAGUGCUGUGAAAUUGUUUCUGUUAUGUGUUAUGAAGAUCGUCAAGGUCACGUCCCAGCAUAAACACCCCAUCCCUACAGCGACAUGAAGGGGGAAACGUCCCGUGUGGGCUUUGGGGCUGGCAUCACCCAACCGUGGGGACCCCAUUAAUCCUUCCUUU